UUGAAAUUCAUUGAAUAAAGAGCUGACUCUUAAUCAGCGGGUCCACGGUUCGAGCCCGUGAUCACCCACCA
rnacentral:tRNA from 1 species